rnacentral:lncRNA from 1 species
CGUUGGUUUACAUCAUAUUUGGCUGACAGAUAUCAGAAAGUAUCUAUUUCAAAUACAUUUUCAGACGUACAAAAACAAAAAACGGGUGUACCUCAAGGAUCCGUAUUAGGACCGGUGUUGUUUUUAAUUUUUAUCAAUGAUCUUCCUUUGUCUAAUCCUAAUCAUAACACCGAUUUAUUUGCUGAUGAUAGCACCAUAUCAGUCAUUGGACAAAACAAAAGUUGCAUCAGUCAAAAACUUAAUACGGUUUUACAAGA